UUUUUUUUUUUUUUAGUGUCAUGACAACACCAACCUAUUAAUUUAAGCUGCAGUUUUUAUUUAACAUUUUGUAUGUUGUAUAUAGGUGCGUGUAAGACACAUGAUUUCUGUAACUGAAGAAAACAUGUACCCUCAAUGGAGUAAUGCAGAGGAUGAUAAGGAUCCAGCACUAGACAACUUGAUAAAAGACACCAUCCAUAAUCGAUUGGCUUUAGAUGCUUGGAAAGGUGUGCCAGCUUUUGGUGUGUCUAAGAAGAAACGGAAAGUAAAAGCUACUGUUGAUGAAGAAGGUAGUAUCACACGGAAGGGGAAAAGAUCAAAAAGGCUGAAUUUUCUGGCGAAGAAAGAGUCAAAACUCUAAAAGAAGACGAGUAGAUAGUCUCAGAAGAUAUACAGGUUAUGUUUUCAUGCCUACUCCUGAUUCGUUGUGUUUUAUAGUAAUGUACUUAUUGUGCUUCAACUUUUUAAAAAAAAAAUCUGAAUAUCUUACUGAUUGUAGGUUGAUAAGGAUGACAAGAAAGGCUUCUCUGAUAUUUUAUUGAUGAUGGAAAAAAUGAAUGGGAGUAUUGUAGACAUGGGUAAGAAUCUGAGUAGUAGGAUUGAUGACUUGGAGAAUACCUUUGACUCACGGAUUGUAGCAGUCGAGACUGAUUUGAAGGAACUGAAACAAGCAAAACCAGCUUCAAUACCUACUGCCCAAGUCGCCAAUUCCAUCAACAAUGAAGAUGAAGGUGCAUCGAGUAAAUCUCCUGCAAGUUAUAGUUUGGUGAGUUUUAAAGUUGUUGAUCUUAUUAAGCAAAAUGGUGAAUGAAAAUACUGUUUUGAUAACGUUUAUUAUUUUUUGCAGUCUUGGAAAGUAGAGGAGAAGCCAUCUUCAGUGGAAGGUUUGCCUGUUCAAAGAGUGGUGAAGAAAACUUAUACUGUUCAGAAGAAAGUAAAGAAAGAAGGUGAAACAUCUGGAGAUCUUCUCUUAAUUGAAAAGAAAGAUGGUUCAAAGGCUGAGAGGAAAAAGUCUGAAAAGGCUCCGCUGAAAGAAGAAGCUACAGAGGCUGGCAAGAUAGGAGUCUCAAAGCCUCUGGUGAAAGCUGCAGUGAAAGAAAAAGCUGCUAAGAACCAGGGUUUGAAGGCUGUGGUGAAGAAAGAGGCUGUUAAGAAAGACGGUUCUAAGGCUGGUAAUAAGAUGAAGAAGAAAUCUACUACCCAAGAAGACGAUGUUGUAGAUAUCACUGACAAAGUUGAAGAAGAAGCUCUGAAAAUGGUUUCAAGUUCUGAAGACACAUACUCGGAUCCUGGACUGCAGAAAGCUAAUAAGGAACUUGAUGCAACAUUGACAGCAAUGGUAGAGAAGUUAAAGGAUCUAGAUGAGGGUGUUAAUGUGGGAAAAAGAGUGCCACAGUUGGCUGGUUCUCAAAAGUACCCGUUUCUUGGUAACUCUACAGUGAAGCGCAUCAUUACGGAUGGAGAACCUUCUUCCUCGAUACCUGAUCACAUGAUGCAUGUUUCUGACGAGAAAAUUCAUCAAUUGUAUGAUUUCCUAGAGACAGAUGACGAGUAAGACUUGACAAUUAAUUUAUCUUCAAAUAUCAUAAUGUAACUUUGUCAUUGUAAUCACUCUUAUGUUUUGAUUUUCAGGGAAGACUUUCUUAACACUACUAAUGGAGAUAUGACUCUGUUCAAAAAAAGAUUGUUAUUAGUGAAACAUAUAUACAUGUAGCAUCAAAUGUUUGAGGAGGAGUAAGUAAUACCUGUAGAAUUUUCUCUACCCCACGUGUUAGAGAUGUUGUCAUUUUUAAUGCAUCUUUCCUUCGAUCUGCAAACCAUCUAGUCAUCAUGGAUCUAAUGGUUUCUAACAGUUCAACAAUAGGAUAACUCCUAGCGUGUGACAUCACCUUAUUCAUUGAUUCUGCAAUGUUGCUUGUAAGCAAAUUGUACCUAUCACCAGGAAAAUAUACACGUGUCCAUAGUCGCACAUCAGCUCUCUCAAGGUAAUCAUGAAGAAGCGGAUUCAACGCUUCAAUCUGAUUAAAUAUUGUCUGAAAAUCGACUUGUCUGAAUGCAUUCGCCGCUUUCUUAACCAGACAAAAUGCUUCCCGGUCUUUAAAACGAACCAAUACAUUCUUGUAAAAAUGGUAUGUACAUAUUCCCCGGCUAGACUUUGGAUAAACCGCAGCGAUUGCUUUUCCUAUUGAUUUGUGCCUGUCCGAAAUAAUUGCAAGGCUCUCGUCAUCUGGAAUAACACACUUGAGUUGCUUGAAAACCAGUCCCAUGAUUCAUCAUUUUCUGUAUCAACCACGGCAAAAACUAUAGGAAAAAUCUGAAAAUUACCAUCUUGCGCAGUUGCCGUCAGAAGUGUCCCUUUGUAUUUCUCCUGUAAAAAUGUCCCGUCAACGACAACAACUUUCCUCAUGAAAGGAAAUCCAUUCAUGCUUGCUCCAAAGGCUAGAAACAAGUACUUAAAUUGAUUGGUCUCGUCAACAUCAAGGCACGUAUAAGUACCAGGAUUUGCCCUCCUUAGCAUGUACAAGUAAGUAUGUAGCUGCUCGUAACCACUCUCAGGACUACCCCUAACCAAUUCGCGAGCAUGCCUUAGCGUCCGAUAAGCUUUCCAAUAAUCCAUCUAUCCAAAACAAAAUAUUAUUUGUUUAGGUGAAUCAAAUUGAAUAUGUAAUAAAAAUUUAAAAAUAGCUACCACUAUUUUACCUUGAUCUGAAAGCGUUUAUUCAACGCUUCAGCAACAUGCAUUGGCAAUACUGUGGGCCCAACUCCACCAACAAAAUCCUUGUACAACGAAGCAAGAAUAUCAUGAGUUGCUUGUCGGGCACGUGAAGAACGCUCUGUCACUGAACAUGUAUGUUGUGAAAUAAACACACGGACGUGAAACUUUGGGUAAUCCUUUGAUGUUGUAGCUCUCACCCUCCACGUACAGCCUUUUACCCAGCACUUGACAAUCAGCAAAAAUGGUGUCGACUUAUCAACAUAAAAAUCAAACUUUUGUACCACAGUUAGUAUCUUCAAUCGCGUCUCCAAAUGUUCUUUCGUUUCAUAAGAUUGACCAAUAGCCAAAUUGACACAAGACAAGUCUAAUUUCAAGAAAUUAGCAUCUUCCUUUUGUUCUUCAAUAAAAAUCUCUGAACUCCUUUUCUUCAAUGGUAACAAUUCGUUGGGUUUUUCUUCUUCUUCUGGAGGAAUCCCAUACAAGGUAAAAUUUUCAUCAUCGGAGUCUGUACCAUCAGAAUCGUCACAGUAAUCGAAUCUCGUUUCUUCAUCGUCAAUGUCUUCGUCUUCUUUACUAUCAACAUAUUGAUCACUCAAUGCCUUCUUAAAAUCGUCAUCUUCAUUGACGAAAUCGUUCAUGGUUCUUGCUCGUUUUUUGUAAUUUUGUUUUGAUUCAACCAAUACUUUCUUCUUCACUUCAACGCAAAGUCUAACUGUUUCCCUCUUCAGUUGACCCAAAAAAUUGUGUAAUUGUCGACAAUUACCAAUAAUAACCGGAGGUGUAUCACCAGGUAAGUUCUACAACAACACCUUCGAAAGCUUGUAGCUCAACACGACAUCAUAUUCUCUGUGAUCCAGCCUGUAAUCUUUAUACACCAUUUGAAUGCAAUCAGCAUAACUGGUUUGACGGUUACCUUCUACAAUACGACAACCCCUAUCAUUAUCAACAACAAAUAACCAUUGAUUUUUUUCAUAGAUCCAACUACCACAUACGACAAUCAUCUGAUCCAUAUCCAAUCCAUCGCCUUUGCUGUGUGACAUUGUUUUUCUCUAAACCCAGACACGAGAAGAAGAACCCAAAAUUGAGAGAAAAAACUAAAAAAAAAUACGUAAUUUGCUUAACCCCAAUAGGAAAAAUAUGAUGAAAUCGAAAGAAACCCCAAAAAGAUAAAACCUAACAGCUCCACGUUGGAGAAAAGAAAACAAUGGAGGCCACGCUUUUUCACAAAAACCCUAGAUGUCGACAUUUAAUGUUUUAUUGGUAAAUAUGGUAACUGGUCUAAUAAGUCUGUCAUUACAAUUAAAAAAAAAAAACUGUCACCACUAUAAAUAUUAUUAUAGGAAAAAAAUCUGCCAGAAAUUAAAAAAAAAAACUGUCAUGAAAGGGUUUCAUAAUUACAAAUAUGUCGCAACAUACAAACAUUAUAAGGUCAUUCUAGCAAUUCUUUCAUUAAUUUAACAAAUCUGCCAUCAAACGACAGAUUUGUGGUAAUAUAAUUUAAUCUGUCAUAACAUAAAACAAGUCUGUCAUAACACAAAAGAUUAUAUUUUGAAAACAAAUCUGUUGUAACACGACAGAUUUAUGGUAACAUUAUAAAAAUCUGUCAUAACAUAGAACAAAUCUGCUACCAUUAGAGGUCAAUCUAGUAAUUAAUUUUUAGUAAGCAAAUCUGUCACAACAUGACAGUUUUUUUCCGAAAAUAAUAAAUCUGCCGCUACUUACAAAUUGAAUCAGCCAGACAUUACAAUAAGUCUGUCACAAAUUGUUCAAGUCUGUCACAAAUUGUUCAAGUCUGUGAUUGAAUGGAAACAAAUCUGUCAAGGAAAACAAAUCUGCUAAAAUUUUGUAAGUCUGUCGUAACCAUAAUCAAAGAAAUCUGUUAAGUAGAUAACAGAUUUUUCUAAAAUUGCUGGAAUUUUUUAUGAAUGGUAUUUUUUUUUUUUUUUUUUACACAUGAGACAAGGGUAUUUUAGGUAUGAAAAUAACUCAUUUAACUCAAAUUAUUUGUGAGUCAAUCUAGUAAUUAAACUCAAAAUUUGGGUUAAUCUAGUAACUCUCUCAAAUAUUAAAGGUGGGAAUCGAAUCCUAUAUUUAAGGGAGGACGAUCAUGCUAUUGGACCGGCUUUAGCUAAGAACCCAUUAAAUCAUCUUUUGCUGGAAAUAAGUACACGUAGACUGAUUUUAGAUGGACAUUCAUGCAGAUCUCCAUUUACAUGGCAAUCGCCUUUGUUGUUUCUCUUCUUUUUUUUUCUUUUACUGAAAGAUUGAAUUAUAUUUCAUGAUUUCCAAGCAAACAUAUAAAAAAGGUAAACGGAUCAAAGACAAUUACUCUAGAUCAACUUCAUUGAGUACUACACUAGGCAGUACUACUUUCUUCUCCAAAAAGGUGUUUUAACCAUAAGAAUAAUCCGGUUGCUACGUACGAUUGGCAGCGAUUCUCUUUUGUAACAAUUCUGGCAAUCAGAUUUGGGCCUUUGUUGUUUCUCUAUGAAUAUUUAUUUUUAAAAAAAUCAUUAUUAAUAUUAAUUUAUUUUAAAAACAAUUCAAAACAACGUCAUUUUGAGUUUAUGGACUCGAACGAUCAAAAUGACGUAGUUAUGUUAAAAAUAAUUGAUACGUCACUGUCACCAAAUCGGCUCAAUCAAUGGUUGAUUAACUCAUACUUAUGUCAAUUUUAUUUUAGGCCCAAAUUAUAGAGUUUGGAUAGUUUUUAAAAAAUAAAUUACGCAUUAAAAUAAAAAAAAAACAACAUUAGAUUUUUGUUGAGGUAUAAAAACGUACGGUGCAAUUCGUUGACUUUAUUUCUGAUUAGUGAUAUCAUCAUCCAAAGAUUUAGAAAGACGAAAGAAAAUAAUAUAUAAUAAAUAAACAAAUAUCGAACGUUUGCAAAAAUAGCUUUUUCAUAAUUUUAAUAGUUUAACCCUUUCCAAUUUUCAAAAUCUAUUCCGCUUUCAGAAAAUAAUUCGAACUUGUCGACUUUAAUUGGACUAACAUGUUAUAUGUUAAAAGAUACGUCGAAGAAACUGAAAUUGGGUUGGGCUAAACUUUGAUAUUGGGAGAAUAAGACCGGUCCACAAGAGUUGUCUGGAUAAACUUCAAUAUCUAUUUGUGUGUUUGCAUUGGAUGCUUGUUUGGUAUGUUUACACACAAAAAGAAAAAGACUUCUAAAGGAGAAAGGAGACCAAACAAUAAUAAUGACAAUCAAAGCGUUAAAUGCACGAAGCAAUCAAAGACCGUGCGAGCAGACAAAUUACGCGUUCUUAAAGGAUCUCCUUUCGUUUCAUGUCUAUUGUCUCUUUUUGUUUUUUUCCUAUAUUUAUUACUUAAGGUUUGGAAUUUUAAGAAGAUACCUUGAAAUUUUAAGAUAUCCAAAUGUUAUGACCGUAAAAUAGUUAUUCGAAUUCACUAUACUCGUAGGUUUUCAGUUAUGGAUCUAUAAAAAUACCUAAAACUCUAUAAAAUUAAAAUUCUAUAUAAAGUUUUAAAUUUAUUUCAUAAAUACCUGAAAGAUAUCUAUCUGAAUCAUUGUAAAUCUUCAAAGAUAAAUGUACGCAUAUGAGAAAACACACACCAUCCCAUCAUAAUCGAAACCAAAGAAUAUCAUACCUACCAUUGACCCGCUCAUGUUUCUUGUUGUCUUAUGAAUUAUGAUAAUCAUUUUCUUUCGAAUGCCCAUCAAUCACUGGGAGGAAAACAAGAAUUCCCAUAAUUUCCGUCGUUGAAAUUUUUUAAGAGAUUUUAUGCUUUAAGUUUUUAACUUAAUUAUAUGAAUACGUUGAAACAUGACUUUCAACUUUAUAAUAUUUAACGAAAACAAAUCAUGAAAAUCGUAACCAAAUUUGAAACACGGACAAUUGCCAAUUUGCCGUGCAUUAAGUUAAGUUUUUCUUUCUAAUCUAACCAAUAGUUAAUGAUUAAAAAAAUAAGUUCUUUUAGAACAAAUAGUUAAUGAUUAAAAAAAUAGUCGAUUGUGUGUUACUUGUAUGUAUACAUUUACACUUACAUUAUGAUAUUGUUUUUUUUUUUAAUGUAAUGUUAAAUUAAAUUCAAAAAAAAAAUAUCGUUUUUACAACAUGUGCAACGUUUAAUUGAAAAGGAAUUUAAAAUAGGAACUAAAAAUGUUUAAUGAUUAGAUUUUUGAUGCAACCCAAGCUUGGAGGCCCUUAUCAUAGCGCCUACCCCCGCUUGCUCGGAUUGAACUGAGUUGAUUUCGGACUUGCUUAUCGAUCCAUUUGAUUAGACGAUCCGCUGGGUUCGGGGUCUCGCUAUGUCGUCUCCCGUUUCUCUCACGCCAUAUGGUAUACAUUGUUGCUUGGAAGAUAUAUCGAGCAAGGAAACUUUGUACUCGGUCUUGCCAAUGACCAGUGAUAUUGUAUGUGCAUGUUUUUUUAAAAAGUGGUUAAUAUAGAAAGGGUUAUUCAAUUUUUAAUAUAUUGUUGGGGACGAUAUUUUUGGAUUUACCAAACGAUUGCAAUUUUAGGGAGGAGUGUUCGUCGUGGAACGUCAUAUGUGUUAGAUUACGGGUGAGCGCAAGGAGAGUAACUCCGCUUCACUUGGUUUUUGGCUUCUAACCUUCUCCUUCGACUUUCGAUUCAGGAUGCACAUUCUCGAGGAAAAACUAUUUGUUCUCCGAAAACUUUUUGACACUUAAAGUAGAAAAAUGUAACGUGAUUAGACUGCAAGACGGAUAUAUAUGGAAAAAAAAAAAAGACAGAUCUAGUUUUGGACCCUGUUAAAAAGUGGUUCAUGUCCAAUUUGAUAUUUAGUGAGUUUGGUAAGUGAUUCAGUGAACGAAGAAGGGUUCCUGGAUGGGGGUUGGAGUACUCCAAUCGGAGAAUUUUGAUAAGGGACGGAUUGAAGAGAUGUUGCCAACAAUGUAAGGUCAAACAUUUAUUUAACAUGAGGCUUGUGUACACGACUAAAUGUUUUGAAUUUUUGAUAUAUAUAUUUAUCGUUUUUUCCAAACAUUUUUCGAUUUCUAGGAAGAUAAUGAGAGAGUAAUUAUAAGAAAAUACAUGAUUUUUAUCUUAUAUUCAGUUUUUGUGUUAGGUCAAUCUAGUCUUAGGACUUUAGAAGACUGGAUGCAAUGUGCGAUGUUACUGGCUUGUGUUGGUGUAGUCUUUUACUUGUGGUAGAUAUUGUAUCCGUCGAUGGAACGUUUUAUGCGUGUUUGAGGUAAAUGACUCUUCGUACAAAUGCACUUAGUCGGCUUUGUGUGAUGCGGACACUGGUUUGUUUGCCAUAAUUACUUAGGAAGGAUAGUGAGCCGCGUUUUAUUAGCUCCUUAUUAGGAUAUUAAGCCAUUGUAGCCUAGGUUUAGCGUUCAUCCGCAAAGCCAAUAUGUUUUAAAAAUUUUGGUUAGAAAUUCUACCGCAACGUGUCCACAUGUAGUUUGAGUGACAAUCGGAUAAUAUAUCAUCUCCCCACAACAAAUACUCCAAUUCCUUAUAUUUAAAAUCAAAUUCUAUAAAAAAAAAAAGGGAAAAAAAUGAUCAUUGAAUAUUGGUAGCUAGCUAGUGCCGAGUUGCCGAAAUAAAAUAUAAACGACAGGAUUGAAGAAAGAUUUGACUUGGUAGACUAAAGAAAAAAAAGACAAUUUUUUCGCUAAAGAUAGAUACUAAAAAGACAAUGCUUUUGUUUGUACCACUACAAGAAAAACGUUCAUUGAUAGCGCAAACCAUCUGCUAUCUUACGUUAUUGAUAGCGAAAUCACAAAUGCUGUGACAUCGGCAGCUAUGGUAGGUGUUUCCCCUACGAUAGCAUUAUUUUGAUAUGCUAUGAUAGUUUUAGAUACAAUAGCUUUAUUUAACUGCUGUUAUUUAUUUUGAUAUAGCAGAUGAAAUUUUUGUUAAAAAGUAACGACAAUUCAAAUUUUGUGCUAUAAUAGGUUCUUCUACGUUAGCAAUUUGUUCUUGCUGUUUAAUUUGUUUUCGUAGCUUCAUUUUUUGUGCUAUAAUAUCUGAUUUUCUACAAUGACAGUGAAGAAUUGCUAUACUUAAUUUAAUUAUGGCUUUUAAUUUUGCUAUUAUAUAUAUUUUCAGAGAGCUAUAUAUUUUGAUUCUAUACCUGUUUUGCAUAAUAUAAACAUGAAAACAUAAGUCUGAAUAUAAAUUGUAACAUAAGUCUGAUUCCAAUUCAAAAGUUAGAAAGUUAUACAGAAUCAUUCAACAUAACAAGUCUAAAUCCAAAAGACAUAACAAGUCUGAUUCCAAAGUACAUAACAGAAGCUGAUUAGUCUAGUCUUAAACUAAUUAAAACUACCUAAUCUGGACCAAAGUUUCUUCAUUCCCUGCAACAAUCAACAAAGUCUCAUAUCAGUAGCAGAUAUAAAAGCAAAACACAAGCAUCACAGUAAUUACAAAACUUACCCCAGUUUCUUCAUCUACUCAAUAGAUGACCAACUUAUCCAUUGGCCAUGCAAUAGAUGAACCAAGUGAAUCUCUCAUAUACUCGAUUUCAUCUGAUGGCCUCCAAACUGCUGCAUCAUCUAUCUUCACUACAUCUACCCAAACUCUAGCUGCAUUUGCCCCCAAGCGAACAUGGUGUACCUUUUGGUCUGGGUCGAUUGAAUGCACACGUCCUUCACCAACCACCCGCCUCUUUCCACUAAUAUCCAUUAACUUGCACUUCUGAUUAGCCUUGAUAACUUCAGCUCCAGUUUUACGCUGCCAUAUUACAAUAUAAACAGGUUUAAUUCAUGUAUAAUAAUAACCAGAAUCAGUAAGUAACAACAUCUGCUAAAUUUACCGGAGAUCUUCGUAGAGGGGAGGGUGAAGCUAACUGACUUUUCUUUACAGGAGGCUUUGAACAUGUUGCUGGAGACUUCUCAACAAGAGAUUUUGAAACUGUGGCUGCGGAUUUCGUUCCUUUUGUUGUGGCUGCGGAUUUUGAUAUCUCAAGAGAAGACUUAUAACCAGCUGCUGCAUUUAGUGGACCUGAUGAUGGUGCUGUUCCUCCUGAUGCUGCUGCCUUUUCUGUUGUUGUUUGAUGAGUUGAUGCAGAAGCCUGAUGAAGUGGAGACUUCUGACAUGUUGCAUCUGCAUGGUUUUCAAAGACAACUUUGUUGGCAGGCCAAGCUACAGAAGACUGUAAACAGUCCUCAAGGUACAUGACAUCAAUCGUUGGCCUCCAUAUAAAUGUCUCAGGUUGAAUCACUGCAUCCACAAAUAUUUUCACUGCUGCUGGUCCGAGAGGAAGCCCAUUAACUAAUGCAUUGGCAUCUUGUGUCUGCCAACGUCCUUCUGCAACAACAACAUCAUAUGAAGACAAAUCCAGUAGCUUGCACUUGUUCACAGAAUUAGGUCUUGAUCCCUGUCAAACACAUUCAACCAGUGUUAACAUAUACUUUCUAUGUAUGAGUAUGAGAAUGAGUGAUAAAGUUUACCAGGGUUGCAAUGUCUUCUGGUUGGAGCUCCUCUUCUAGAUUAACACACAAACUAGAUGGCCAGGCCACCAUAUGUCCAACAGCUUUCUCAAUGGUGCACAUGUUAAUCGCAGGUCUCCAAAGGAAUGCUUCUGGUACAAUAGCAGUGACAAUCAAGACUUUAACAUCCGUAGGGCCUAAGCGACUUUCAUUAACUAAUUCAUCAGGAUCAGAAGACAUAAUAAGCCCCUCAGCAACUUUUUCCUCAGAACCAGCCCAAUCAAUCAAGACACACUUUGGUUGUGAUCUUUUAUUCACACUCUAUAAAAGUAAUUAGAAGAAAAAUAUAUUAGAUUAUAAAGUAACAAAGAAAUCAAAAACAUUUGAUAUAAGUCACUUACUCUUGCAGCUGAGUUUUCACCAACCUCAGGUGAUUGUCUCUGUUACAUAAAAAACAAAGUCAAAUACUAUGAACUAUUUGAGCUUCUUUAUGUAUAAAUAGAUAAGCUUCACAAUGUAUAAAUAGAUAAGUUUCUAACCUGAUUCUUCAUUUUCAGAAUUACAUCUUCUAACUCAGUGACCUUCUGCUGGAGCUGAAUCUGAUUCUCUUGCAUUUGAGCCAUACACUUGUGCUUCACUUGGAAACAAGCUAACUUGGUCUUAUUCAUAUUUCUACCCAUUGCCCUCAUUCUACCAGGAUUGUCAGGCCCUAACAGUUGGCUAAGUGAAUCUUGUUGUGCUUCAUUUGUUGCAGUCGAUGGAUCAUCACUGUUAACAAUCUCAUUUGCCUUUUUCUGCAACUCAUAAGAUACAGAUUCAAUAGCAGAUUAAGAAUCAAAUGCCAAUAUGCACAUCAUUAGAAGCAAAAUUUUAAACUCACAAUCUUUUCAGCAGCAUUAGUGUUCACUGGUGUACCAUCUUUCUUGGUACGUGAUUUAACCCAAACCUUUAGCCUUGUCACUUCAGAUGGGUCUGCACUACCAGUUUUCUAAACCAAACAAAAAUCAUUACAUAUUAAUAAGUGUUUUAAAAAGAAGCUGAGCAAUAUAAACAACAUAACUGUCAUGUGAUUACCAUAUCUUCUGCUAGUCUAACCAUUCCCUUGCGACUACAAGUGUGAGGAAUUUGUUUGCGCCUUCUUUCCUUGUAGCUAUCGCUUACAACCUAACAGAUGAAUGUUAACUUGUAAUAUACUAUAUAGUACAUAAACUUAAUUAUCCUGAUUCCAGAUGCAUACCUUAAAUUCUUGGCUAGUUUUGAGCUUCACAAAUUUACGCCAAUCGGUUGGAGAAACAUUUUUAAGUCGCAGAUUCAUCCUCUGCUGGUUAGUCUUAGCUUCUCUGAUGUUUGUAACUUGCUUUGAUUUCCAGGACCUCCACAAACAUCCCAUCUGCUUAAGCACUGCAACCUUUUGGUACUCUUCAUCUAGUUCAAACCUAGCCUGCACUCAAUAGAAAAAAACAGUAAAUUUAAUUACAAUAUCUGAUAAAACGUAAUGCAAUACAAGAAAAAUUAGACAAAUGAUACCUGGACAGAUUUCCAGAGAAGUGUCUUGAUUUCUUCACCUAUUUUUGUCCAACGAUCAAUUGUGAUAGGAACAUGUUCUCGGACCAAUGCACCAACAUAUGAUGACAGCUUAACUGACCCUUUACCAAUAGGCUCUCCCAUGAUAUUGUACUCUACUCUAACUCUGGUAUUUGGAUCCUUGGCUAUGUCUUUCAUCCUAGUUGGUCCUCGCUGUCUCUUACUCUUAGGUUCAAUAGCAACCUCAUGACCCUCAGAAAAUUCUAUCUCUCCUUCUGGCUCUUCCACAUCAGGUUCUUUAUCACCCAUUUGGACUCUACUUGAACCUCAGCUGGUUCUUCAUGUUGUGGUUCUUUAUCACCCAUUUGGACUUCUACUUGAACCUCAGCUGGUUCUUCAUGUUGUGGUUCCAAAUGAUCUGGAUCUUCAGCUUGAACUUCAGCUGGUUCUUCUUGUUGUGGUUCCAUUGUACCCACAUACUCUACCUCCUCAUCCUUUUUUUUAGUGUUUCUUCCUCGCUUUUUCUUGCGCCCAGCCAUUUUAAAUCACCUAAUAAAAAUGAAAGAAGAAAGAGUUAGUAGAUUAAAGAGAACUAAAAGCAGACAUCAAAGCAAAACAAACAUAAUAACUAUCAAACACACAAUGGAAAAACAAUUAAAAAAAAAAAGCAGACAUCAGACUUGAGCUAAGGUAAAAAAUCAGACAUUUCACACAUAUAUCCCUUCACAAUCAGAUCUCUCAUUUUCAGCCUCAUCCAAGUCAACAUCAAUGUCAACACUUGUUGGCAAUGGCCCAAUGUCUGCAACUGCAUCUUGAAACUCUUUCUGACUGAAUCUUCUCGAAGGACCUCUCAUUGCAACAUACCAAGUUGAUGAGUCAUCUUCCCUUAGGUAAAACACUUGCUUUGCUUGAGAGGCUAGUAUGUAUGGAUCCCUUCAAAAGGAGACUUGACUAUGAUUCAGUUUUACAAGUGUAAAACCAUCCUCUUCCUUCACUCCAUUGCCCUUUACUGCCCAGUUGUAGCGNNNNNNNNNNNNNNNNNNNNNNNNNNNNNNNNNNNNNNNNNNNNNNNNNNNNNNNNNNNNNNNNNNNNNNNNNNNNNNNNNNNNNNNNNNNNNNNNNNNNNNNNNNNNNNNNNNNNNNNNNNNNNNNNNNNNNNNNNNNNNNNNNNNNNNNNNNNNNNNNNNNNNNNNNNNNNNNNNNNNNNNNNNNNNNNNNNNNNNNNNNNNNNNNNNNNACCUAGCGCAGCUACGUGGACCAUAUGCCAACCAUUUCAGUGUUUCUCCAUGUCUGUUUGAAUCAAGAUGUAUCUAACAAAAGUAAAUAGAAAAGGUCAGACACCUAUAUACAUAAACUGAAUUACAUUAGGUGUUUAUGUAAGAGAUAACUAGCCUGUUCUUUAAGCCAAGAGGCAAAAUUCUGAGUGUGCAUACUCCAUAACAGUGAUGCAUCACGUCUGCAUCUUCCAUUGGAGUCUUGUAGAUGCUGUAGGUGCUCACUGUUAAAAGAAAAAGUGAAAAAGAAAUAAUCAGACAUUUAUCCUAAAUAUAAUUAAUGAAUGAACUAGCAAAAUGUGGAACUUACUCUACAUAAGGCUCCACGACAGCCAUAUUCUGGAUGACAGCCAUGUGAGCUAUUUUUUUCUCCAUUUCAGUAAGAUUAAGUGAGAUGCCUGCAGAGAUUGGACGCCCCUCAAGUAUAGUGUUGUUUUCAUACUCAGUGUUUCUAUCUACACUUUCCUUAACAUUGGUUGUCUUCUUCAAAAAUUCACUACAAAACUGGAUGCAUUCUUCAGCUAGAUAACACUCAGCAAUACACCCUUCAGGUCUUGCAGUGUUCCUCACAAAAUCCUUCAGAACUUUCAUAUACCUUUCAAACGGGUACAUCCAUCUGAAAUGAACUGGUCCACCUAACCGAGCUUCUCUGCCUAAAUGUACUGUCAAGUGCACCAUGAUAUCAAAGAAACUUGGCGGGAAGAAUCUUUCAAACAAGCAAAGGGUUUCAACAAUCUCAGCUUCCAUUGCCAAAAGCUGCUCCAUAUCAAUUACUCGCUGACACAAGUGAUUGAAAAAUGUGCAUAAGCGCACAAUUGCUACCCUAGGACCUUUAGGUAACAACCCUCUAAGUGCAAUCGGAAGAAGCUGUUGCAUUAACACGUGAUAAUCGUGUGAUUUCAGACCUGUGACCUUACAGUCAUCUAAUGAGACGCCUCUUGAUAUGUUUGAACCAGUACCCAUCUGGGCCUUUGAAGUCAAAUAGCCGCUUACAGAAAAUCUUCUUCUCUGUCUUGGACAGAGACCAAAGUGCUGCGGGAAGAUAUGUUCUUUUUCCUUUGAUUUUAGGGUGNNNNNNNNNNNNNNNNNNNNNNNNNNNNNNNNNNNNNNNNNNNNNNNNNNNNNNNNNNNNNNNNNNNNNNNNNNNNNNNNNNNNNNNNNNNNNNNNNNNNNNNNNNNNGACUCUGGUAUUUGGAUCCUUGGCUAUGUCUUUCAUCCUAGUUGGUCCUCGCUGUCUCUUACUCUUAGGUUCAAUAGCAACCUCAUGACCCUCAGAAAAUUCUAUCUCUCCUUCUGGCUCUUCCACAUCAGGUUCUUUAUCACCCAUUUGGACUUCUACUUGAACCUCAGCUGGUUCUUCAUGUUGUGGUUCUUUAUCACCCAUUUGGACUUCUACUUGAACCUCAGCUGGUUCUUCAUGUUGUGGUUCCAAAUGAUCUGGAUCUUCAGCUUGAACUUCAGCUGGUUCUUCUUGUUGCUGGUUCUUCCAUCUUGAUAACUCCUCCUCAUCUACUGUUACCUCUUCCUCUUCAUCCUCCUCUGACUCACUAGAUAGAUCAUCACUAUCAGAACUUGAUCUAGUACAUUCAACACGUUUUCUCUUAUUUGCAUGUUGUUUCAAGUUCCCAAAGCUAUUUUUAAAGUUUUUCAGGUUUUGAUAAAUCUCCUGGCCACUUAAUAUUCUCCUCUUCCUCCCAUGUUCAGCUUUUCCAUCAAACCAUGACUUCUUCCCUCUAAAACUAUGUGUUGGGGGCAGACCCUUUCUAUGGCACAUAAAGACAUGUUUUCUGCUGAAUUUCAACCACAUGCUAUCUGUAUUUUUUCCACAUAAAGGACAACCCAUUUUACCCUUUACUUUGCAGCCAGCAAGAUUCCCAUACGCGGGAAAAUCACUAAUUGUCCAAAGCAGCAUUGCCUUAAGAGUAAAUGUUGACUUACUAAAAGCAUCAUAAGUCAACUCCCCAUUAUCCCACAGAUGGCAUAGAUCCUCUAUAAGUGGUUCCAAGUAGACGUCAAUACUAUUACCGGGCUGUUGUGGACCAGGAAUCAACAAUGUCAACAUGAUGUUCUCCUUCUUCAUGCAUAAGUCUGGAGGCAAAUUGUAGUUUACUAGCAAAACGGGCCAGCAACUAUACCUGGUAUUCUUCAUGUUGAAUGGAUUAAAUCCAUCUGUGGAAAGUCCAAGCCUCAAGUUCCUUUCCUCGGCUGCAAAUGAAGGGUAUUUGGCAUUCAUCUGAUCCCAUGUUACUGAAUCUACAGGGUGACGGAGUUUUCCAUCGCUGCUUUUGUUGCUAAAAUGCCACCUUAAAUCUUUAGCCAUUUCCUCAGACCUAAACAUUCUCUUAAGGCGUGGGAUUAUCGGAAAGUACCGUAAUACUUUCUGUGGGACACCUUUCUUUACUUCACCAGUGUGCAAGUUAGUCUUCCAUCUUGAAGCAUUGCAUUUAGGACAAUUAUCAAGCUUUUUGUACUUUUUUCUGAAUAGGCAGCAGUCAUUAACGCAAGCAUGAAUCUUUUGAUAACCCAUAUCAAAAGAUUUCAAAAACUUCUUCACCUCAUACAAUGAUGUGUGUAGCACACACCCCUCUGGUAACAUCUCCGGCAAUGUCUCUAGAAGAUCAUUGAAGCUCUUGUCAGACCAUCCAUUUUGUGUCUUAAGUCUAAACAAAGACACAAUAGCUGACAGCUUGCUAUGGUUCACACAACUUGGAUAUAAAGGAGUUUCAGCAUCUACAAGCUUUGCAAGAAACUCAUCUUCUUUCUUGUCAUCACCCUCUGCAAUCUCAGCCAAGUCAAGCUUUUCUGCAAACUCUUCAUCCAAAUACUCAGCAGCUUGAUAUAACUCAAAUACCUCGUCAUUCCAGUGACUUAGUUUGCUUUCACUUUCAGCCACUGCAUUCAAUUCUCCAUGAUGAUACCAGUCACACCGCAUCUUAUAAGCUUCAUCCAUUCCCCUUGUUACAAGAUGAUCAACAACUACACUACCUAGGUGACGAUCUAUAUUACGACAAUCAAUGCAAGGACAUAUAAUCAUAUCGACGUCUCCCAAAGCUGCAGCCACAGCCCGUACAAACUUUGUAGCCCCUCUCUCAUAAGCAGGAUCAGCUCUUCAUUGCAGAAUAAAAGGGGAAAAAAAGAAGAAGUAAAGUCUCUGAAACCCCUACUGAAACCUAACCUAUAUAAUUAAAGUCCUUACCUGCCAAGAUGCACCCAAUCCUUGUCCAACAUUAUAUGUUGAUACCGUAAUAUAAACCUUUAAUACCAUAAGCAAUUAACUCAAAAUAUAUUCAGACCAGUAAACAAAUAACUCAUACAUAUAUAAUAUUCAAUCAAAGCAAUCUCAAUAGUUCAAUAUCAGAUUAUAUAAGUACACUAACUCAGUUAUAGUAGCAUAUUUAAGACAAAUUAAACUUAAAACAAAAAGCAUGGUUAUCAAUCAAAAACCAUAUAAAAGAAACUAGAAACAUGGUACUAACCUGUCCUCAUAUAUAGUAACAUAACCAACAAGACAUCAACAGUAAUGUACUAGAUUAAGUGUUUUAAAUCUCAAUAAUUUAAUAUCAGACAAGAUAAGUGCAGUAACUCAACUUUAGUAGCAUAUUUAAAACAAAUAAAACUGAAAACAAGAAACACUGUAAUCAAUCAAACUCAUAUGCUAGAAACAAGAAAUACGGUACUAACCUGUCCUCAUAUAUAGUAGCAUACACAACAAGACAUUCACAGUAAUGUAUUAUAAUCAAAAAAACAUGGUAAACAAUCAAACUCAUGUAAGAGAAGAUGGUACUAACCUGUCUUAUGAUGAUAAGAGCAAAUGAUAAGCUUCAAAGUCCCAUUAUUUCACUCAGCAAAACUUGCAAAACAAAAUUAUAGAGUGGGUAUAAGGUUAUGCAAGAAAGUGAAUCACUGAAAGUUUGACUAAAAAAAAUAACUUAAUCGAUCUAACAAUAAAAACAAGAUUCAGACAACAAACAAGGUAGAAUACAAAAAAAAAUCUGAACUUUAAACCUGAUAAAUUUGCCAAUCAAACGAAAGAGAUAAACACAAUCUUAGUAAGAAACAAAACUGGAAAAAGGACAAAUACUAGACGCAAUUCACUGCUCAGUUCUGCAAUUCACUGGAAAAACGCAAUUCACUGCUCAGUUCUUGUUUCUUUUUCAAAGAACUAAAAAAUCAGAUACAAGUUAUGAUGUCAGAAGAAACACAAGUUAUGAUGUCUGAAGAAACACAAGUGAACAUGCCAGUUAUGAUGUUUGGUUUUGUUUAGGGUAAACACAAGUAAGGCGGAAUCCAACAUAGCAAAAACAGAUUAUUAAGGUAUUGAAUUAACAAUCAAGAGAAUAUAUAUGACAAUAUCAAAACACAAUUUCAUAGCAAGUUUAUACUCAAUUUCUAUCUGACAAUAACGAAAAGAAGAUCCGAAUUACAUAGCACAUAUCCAAGUUUUUAAAGAAAUUUCGUUCAAAUACGCCUAAAUCAAACCACAAAAACAAUAAUGUUAUGAAAUCGUUCUGAAAUCGCAAAUAACAGAGGCAUGCAAAACAAGAAUCGAUUAGACUGACCUAGAUUUGAGCUACCUAUAACAUCAGACUUGAGCUAGAUUUGAGCUACCUAGAACAUCAGACGUGAGCUAGAUUUGAAAGAAACAGACCUAGAAAAAAUCCGAAAAAGAAGAAAAAAUCAAUUGAAUAAAGGACAUGCCUUCGAUUUGAGCUCAAAUCCGACAGAUCUAAGGCGGAAUUAGUGCCGGCGUCAGGUUCAGUUUCACGGCGACCUUCAACGGCGGCGGCAGAGGGCUUAAUCGGCGAUUGGGAGAGUCAAUUCGUCGGUCAAAGAGAGUUAUGGCUGAUAGAGUUCUGUCUUAGGGUUUUCGAGAAAGAGGGAAAACGCGUCUUUUGGCUUAAGUGUUUUUUGGGAAUUCUGACUAAGUGUUUGGCGGAAUUAGAGAUUUUGGGUUCCCGCUCAUUGAAGUUCUAUCUUAGCGUUUAUGAAAUGCUAUCAUAUAACAAUCAUAAUUACAUAACAUCUUCAAUAGCAGUUUGGUAAACCGUGCUAUUACGGUAUGCUAUCAAUGAGGACUUUUUUUGUAGUGUACCUAAAAGCACUAAUCAAAAUCGAAAGGUGAUAAUGGAGGUGGAGAAGACAUCAUUCUCAUAUAAUCAUCUCCGCAUACUCAGCUUUUGCUAUUUAUAUUAUCCACCGUUUAAUUAAACCUCUUUAGACACACCCAUCAUCGUUUUUCAAUUUUUUUUUGUUCUCUCGGGAAUGAUCAUAUUUUAAAAGUAGAUUUUAACUAAUAAAAAAAACAUGUUAAAUUUAUUUAUAUACAAUAAAUAAUAAUAAUACAAAAUCAAACCAUAUUAGAUUUUAUUUUAGUAUAGCAUAUUUAAUAGCUCAACAAGUUUAAAUAGAUUUAUUUGACUAUUUCGAGGAUUAUGAUACUAAUUUAGUUAAUAUUUUAAUGGAUCACUAGCCUAUCUUUAAAGUUUUCUAUACGUCAAUACAUGUAUUUGCAACGAUUUAUUAAGGCAUAUGAAUGUGAAUGAAGUAAUGAAGAACGUGAUUAGGGUCCUACUUGAUUCAAGCAAUAAAACUAAUCGACAUCACACCAAGACGCAACCCCAACCCCAACCCCAACCCCAACCAACAAACUCUAAAUUUGUCUGAUUUAGAAUAAAUAUAUCGUUACUAUAGAGGAACGAGUGUGACUUUAAUAGUAAGACUUGUUCAAAAUAUUAAAUUUAUAAAUCAAUGAUUUACGAUCAUUAAGAAGAGAUUUAUGACUUUAACAUUGUGUUGGAUUUUAACAAACAAAAAAAAGAAGUUAUAUUCAAUAUUAUAGAGUAAUUUGAAGUUGGAUAUUUUGUUUUUUUUUUUUUGAGAAAAGAAGUUGAUUUUGUAACAAAAAAAAUAGUUACUUUUUACUGGUGGGUCCAAAAGAAUUGAGUAAAAAAAUUUGUUUGCUUUGUGUUGUAUUAUAGUGAACAUGUUGGCUUUGAUUGGUGAACAAAAAUAAAGUAUUACUUCAGUUUGUCCAAAAAAAAAAAAUAAUAAAAUAAAGUAUUACAAGUGGUACAACUUUUAUUUUUACCGACUACAAAAGUUUUAUCAAAAGCGUUACUAAAAGUUUUACUCUCAACUUUCUCGUACAAUUCUGUCAUAUAAUUUGCACUAUUCCGGUAAAGUUUAUAGCUCCAGCUAACAGCUAAAAAACUUGUACAGUUUUUGGUUACCAAUCAGACCCGUUAAGCGGUAUGACUAGCAAUAAAUUUAUUAUUGUUGACCAAAAAUAUUUUCUUUUUAAUAAUUAAAAUUUUGUAUUUGACACUUUUGGUAAGUUAAUAAGAGUGAUAUGACUAGCAAUAAAUUUAUUAGUUGUUGACUCAAAUUGGUAUAUAAUGUAUAAUGAGAAAUUAUCAAUGAGAAAUAUAAGUAAAUUUUAACAAUGGGUAUACAUGGAGUAGUAAAUAAGUAUGCGAAAUAUUUACCUUUUUGGAAAGCCGGUACGUGAAGAUCCUCUACAGCUCGACUCCCAGUAUAACGCUUCGGAGAAUCGUGUCUCUCAGCCAUUUCUUGAACUUUCUGAUUGGCAAUUAAGCAUUCAAAGUUGGUAAAGCAUUUAAUGCAUAUCUACAAAGUGGUGUCAGCAUCACAUCAUUCGACUCACACUCUCCUAACCACAUAGAACAGAUGAAUUGAUAGUUAAUUAGUUAUGCAUCCUUGAAAUCCACAAACAUCAUACUAGGUUUGAUAUCUUUUGACCAAAUUCUGAACCGCACCACCACAUGUCCACAUCUUCUCUUGUAAAAUCAGCUCUGCUUUCAAUCAUAUUGUUUCCUUCUUGUUUGAGAGUUAAGGAGUAUUCAGAAGGACAACAUUUUUGUCCUCCCGAAAGUCAUUUUGAUUGUUCAUUUGGUUUAGAAGAGCGAUGAGAGGGCUGAAUCCGAGGUAAAGAGUCUCUCGACUUGACUAACAAACAAUCUAACUUGGUCCACGCUCAAGUGGUCGAAUCACCUAACAUACGCUCAACAGCAUGCAAUACAACACAAGCAAUGUCCCCCAUAACAAAAAUUUUGACCCUAUGAUGGAAACCAAAAAUUUGUCCCAAACAUAUGCCAUAAACAAAUGUAAAAUGUUAAAGUAGAACCUAGUGUUUGGAAAGGGACUCUAUUCUUUCUUCUACCCCAAAGACAAAAUAAAAAGAUAUGUAAUAGAAAUGAUGACAAGAGAGACAAAGCAAACCAAAAGAAAGGUUUUAAAAUGUAAUAAAUUUCCAAAAUCAACGCUCCUUUUUGUUCCCACUUUAACUUUUCCCACUCUCAAAUCAUUUUACCUUUGGAUUUAAGCCUCAUGACACUUUUUCUUUUCCUCAUACUUUUUACACCAUUCUCUAUUUUGUUGCUACUCAUCUCUUAUCAAAACAUAUUUAACUUGUCGACUUCACCUUCACUAGCUAGUAGCUACCAUUGUUUAACUUUUAAUUUUUAAUUCGUAUUUUCUGCUCCAACUUUGUAGAGAAUCUGUUGUUAUCUCAAAGAAAAGAAGUGGCUAAAUUCACGUUUGACAAUGUUGCUUGAAAAAGGUUUGAUCUUGAAAUUUCAAAAGAGGGAAAAAAGUAAAGGAGAAAAAUUUGGAGAGACACAAGAAGUGAGUCAAGGGACCCAACAACAAAGACAAAGACAAAAACUUUGGAUUUUGCCAAAUACUAUGAUUAAUGCUCAUUCAACACUCCCAUUACCAUUUCCAUCAUCAUCAUUUCUCUCUCUCUGGUUUUGGAAAUUGCCUGAGAAAAAAAACUAACCAUAACCAUCUUCUUCUUCUUCUUUCUCUUGUUCUUGAAUCUUGAACAUAAUUCUAUUUCAUGGAAAAGCAUCAUCAUCAGCAUCUUUUGUUACAGCAUCAUCAACAUCUCCACCAUCACCAGAAGCUCUCUCUUGCCAAAUCUUCUAGACAAAGCUGUAGUGAAUGGUAUGUUCUGUUCCCUUUGUUCUCUUGAUGAGUUCUGUGAUCAAGAAACCAGUGUCUUUAUAUAACUCUGUCUCAAUCUUGCUAAUGAUGUUCUUUCUUGCAACUGUUUAGGAUCUUUCGAGACGUUCCAAGUGAUAUAACCAUAGAAGUUAAUGGAGGAAACUUUGCUCUGCAUAAGGUAUAUUCAUACUUAUAACACAACCAUCACUUCUUUCUCAUGUAAACCAUUACUGAAUAUGUUUUGCUUCUCCAUUUCUCAGUUCCCUUUAGUCUCUAGAAGUGGAAGAAUCCGAAGAAUAGUUGCAGAACAUAGAGAUUCAGAUAUCUCCAAAGUAGAGCUUCUUAAUCUUCCAGGAGGAGCAGAAACAUUUGAAUUAGCAGCCAAAUUCUGCUAUGGGAUUAACUUUGAGAUCACUUCUUCAAACGUUGCACAGCUCUUUUGCAUCUCUGAUUACCUCGAGAUGACAGAAGAGUAUUCCAAAGACAACUUGGCUUCAAGAACAGAGGAGUAUCUUGAGAGCAUUGUGUGCAAGAAUCUUGAGAUGUGUGUUCAAGUCUUGAAACAAUCCGAGAAUCUUCUCCCUCUUGCAGAUGAACUCAAUAUCAUAGGUAGAUGUAUCGAUGCCAUUGCCUCGAAGGCUUGCGCUGAACAGAUUGCUUCGAGCUUCUCACGGUUAGAGUAUAGUAGCUCAGGGAGGCUUCAUAUGAGCAGGCAAGUGAAGAACAGUGGUGAUGGAGGAGAUUGGUGGAUCGAAGAUCUUUCGGUUCUUAGGAUUGAUUUGUAUCAGAGAGUUAUGAAUGCAAUGAAGUGUCGUGGUGUGCGUCCAGAGAGUAUAGGAGCUUCUUUGGUUAGUUACGCCGAGAGAGAGCUGACAAAGAGAUCUGAACAUGAACAAACCAUUGUUGAGACGAUUGUUACACUUUUGCCUGUCGAAAACCUCGUGGUUCCAAUCAGUUUUCUCUUCGGGUUACUGAGAAGAGCAGUGAUUCUUGAUACUUCAGUUUCCUGCAGGCUUGAUCUAGAGAGAAGGAUCGGUUCUCAGCUCGAUAUGGCGACUCUAGAUGAUCUCUUGAUCCCGUCUUUUCGUCAUGCAGGAGACACUUUGUUCGACAUUGACACGGUUCAUAGAAUCUUGGUGAAUUUCUCACAGCAAGGAGGAGAUGAUAGUGAGGAUGAAGAGUCUGUGUUUGAAUGCGAUAGUCCACAUUCGCCUUCACAAACUGCCAUGUUUAAAGUGGCAAAGCUUGUAGACAGUUAUCUUGCUGAGAUUGCUCCUGAUGCUAACCUUGACCUUUCUAAGUUCUUGCUUAUCGCAGAAGCCUUACCGCCUCAUGCUCGUACCCUUCACGAUGGUUUAUACCGUGCCACUGAUCUCUACCUUAAAGUAAGUUUCUACACGACAACUUUUUACUUUCUCUUGUUGUGUUGAUACUUAAACUUAGGCUUUAUGCUCUCAGGCACAUCAAGGGUUAUCAGAUUCAGACAAGAAGAAGCUGUCAAAACUUAUUGACUUCCAGAAACUCUCACAAGAAGCUGGAGCACACGCUGCCCAAAACGAGCGGCUUCCUCUGCAAUCCAUAGUUCAAGUUCUCUACUUUGAGCAACUGAAGCUUCGAAGCUCCUUGUGCUCUUCUUACUCGGACGAAGAGCCAAAGCCAAAGCAACAGCAACAACAGUCAUGGAGAAUCAAUAGCGGAGCUCUCAGCGCAGCAAUGUCGCCCAAAGACAACUACGCGUCUCUAAGGAGAGAAAACCGGGAACUGAAGCUCGAGUUAGCUAGGUUGAGAAUGAGACUCAACGACCUAGAGAAAGAACAUAUCUGUAUGAAGAGAGAUAUGCAGAGAUCUCAUUCGCGCAAAUUCAUGAGCAGUUUCUCAAAGAAAAUGGGGAAGCUUAGCUUCUUUGGGCAUAGCUCUUCAAGAGGAUCAAGCUCUCCAUCAAAGCAGUCUUUCAGAACAGAUUCAAAGGUGAUGGAAAGAACUUGCGCAAGCACAGAUUAGCUCAGGUUAUAUCAUUCUCUCUUACCUGUUGCGGCUUUUUAAGCGAGUGCAAAGACAAGACUUGAGAUUAGUGUGUGAGUGAGUGAUAUUUUCAACUAUCGAGUUCGACUUUGUAAAUGGAUUUGAUUUAUAUAAGACAACAAAAGGUAGAUGACUUAAAAUCAAAGGUCUCUCAGUUGAUUGCAAUAGAGAAUAUAAUGAUGUCUUACAAGACAAACAGAGGUAGAGACAGAGUUUUACCACGUCGUAUACAAGCAAUUCACUUAGGCCACAAUUCAAUCCUCAAGAAGAAGGAGUCUUGGUCUUAGUGUAAUACCGGAUGCCGAAAGCCAACCCUAAGAUUAGAAGAGGAACAAGGAACUGAAGGAGCUUAAUGACAAAUUCCGAGCUCUUAUCCUGAUUAGCCUUGACUGUCUUCGAAGUAGGAGGCACAAACUUAGCUUUAACUGGGACAGUAGCUGUGUCAAUAUCACCCACAUAGUACUCAUCUAGCAUGGCUUUCGCAGUCGAACUAUGUCCCACAUCCUCGAAAUCAUCGGUCGCAUCUUUC
rnacentral:lncRNA from 1 species